UACGUAGGGGGCAAGCGUUGUCCGGAUUUAUUGGGCGUAAAGCGCUCGCAGGUGGUUCGUCGCGUCGUGCGUGAAAGACCCCGGCUCAACUGGGGAGGGUCGUGCGAUACGGGCGGACUGGAGGCCAGUAGGGGGAUGCGGAAUUCCGGGUGUAGUGGUGGAAUGCGCAGAUAUCAGGAGGAACACCGAUGGCGAAGGCAGAUCUCUGGGCCGUAACUGACGCUGAGGAGCGAAAGCGUGGGGAGCGAACAGG
rnacentral:rRNA from 1 species